rnacentral:rRNA from 1 species
CAGGCCUAACACAUGCAAGUCGAGCGGUAACAGAGAGUAGCUUGCUACUCUGCUGACGAGCGGCGGACGGGUGAGUAAUGCUUGGGAAUGUACCUUAUGGUGGGGGACAACAGUUGGAAACGACUGCUAAUACCGCAUAAUGUCUUCGGACCAAAGCGGGGGACCUUCGGGCCUCGCGCCAUAAGAUCAGCCCAAGUGGGAUUAGCUAGUUGGUGAGGUAAUGGCUCACCAAGGCGACGAUCCCUAGCUGGUUUGAGAGGAUGAUCAGCCACACUGGGACUGAGACACGGCCCAGACUCCUACGGGAGGCAGCAGUGGGGAAUAUUGCACAAUGGGCGCAAGCCUGAUGCAGCCAUGCCGCGUGUGUGAAGAAGGCCUUCGGGUUGUAAAGCACUUUCAGUAAGGAGGAGAGGUUGGAUGUUAAUAGCAUUCAGCUGUGACGUUACUUACAGAAGAAGCACCGGCUAACUCCGUGCCAGCAGCCGCGGUAAUACGGAGGGUGCGAGCGUUAAUCGGAAUUACUGGGCGUAAAGCGUACGCAGGCGGUUUGUUAAGCGAGAUGUGAAAGCCCCGGGCUCAACCUGGGAACUGCAUUUCGAACUGGCAAACUAGAGUAUGAUAGAGGGUGGUAGAAUUUCAGGUGUAGCGG